rnacentral:rRNA from 1 species
CUAAGCCAUGCGAGUCAUUGUAGCAAUACAAGGCAGACGGCUCAGUAACGCGUAGUCAAUCUACCCUAUGGACGGGAAUAACCUCGGGAAACUGAGAAUAAUGCCCGAUAGAACAUUAUGCCUGGAAUGGUUUAUGUUUCAAAUGAUUUAUCGCCAUAGGAUGGGACUGCGGCCUAUCAGUUUGUUGGUGAGGUAAUGGCCCACCAAGACUAUUACAGGUACGGGCUCUGAGAGGAGUAGCCCGGAGAUGGGUACUGAGACACGGACCCAGGCCCUAUGGGGCGCAGCAGGCGAGAAAACUUUGCAAUGUGCGAAAGCACGACAAGGUUAAUCCGAGUGGUUUCUGCUAAAGAAACCUUUUGUCAGUCCUAGAAACACUGACGAAUAAGGGGUGGGCAAGUUCUGGUGUCAGCCGCCGCGGUAAAACCAGCACCUCAAGUGGUCAGGAUGAUUAUUGGGCCUAAAGCAUCCGUAGCUCGUUUUGUAAGUUUUCGGUUAAAUCCAUGCGCUUAACGUAUGGGCUGCCGGGAAUACUGCAUAACUAGGAAGUGGGAGAGGUAGACGGUACUCGGUAGGAAGGGGUAAAAUCCUUUGAUCUAUUGAUGACCACCUGUGGCGAAGGCGGUCUACCAGAACACGUUCGACGGUGAGGGAUGAAAGCUGGGGGAGCAAACCGGAUUAGAUACCCGGGUAGUCCCAGCUGUAAACUAUGCAAACUCAGUGAUGCAUUGGCUUGUGGCCAAUGCAGUGCUGCAGGGAAGCCGUUAAGUUUGCCGCCUGGGAAGUACGUACGCAAGUAUGAAACUUAAAGGAAUUGGCGGGGGAGCACCACAAGGGGUGAAGCCUGCGGUUCAAUUGGAGUCAACGCCAGAAAUCUUACCCGGAGAGACAGCAGAAUGAAGGUCAAGCUGAAGACUUUACCAGACAAGCUGAGAGGAGGUGCAUGGCCACCUG